AUUUUCAUGUAGAUAUCGAUGAUUGUAGCCCGAAUCCUUGUCAGAACAAUGGUGUCUGUACAGACUUGAUCAACGACUAUAGCUGUGCUUGCAAACCGGGCUGGACAGGAAAACAAUGCGAUACCGAUAUCGAUGAAUGCCAAUCGAACCCWUGCACACACGGUGAAUGCAAGAACGGUGUCAAUGACUACACUUGCACGUGUAAGCCUGGUUAUGAAGGGAAGAACUGCGACAAAGAUCGUGAUGAAUGUCAUUCCAAUCCUUGCAAGAACCAAGGGACCUGUAUCGACCAAGUGAACAGCUAUCGG